rnacentral:lncRNA from 1 species
AGGAGGCAAAAUGUUACUGUAGCGACUGGGCCUCGCGAGCCGUGGGGGCUCGAGGUUCCAAGGCUCGGAGCCUGCAGAAGGCUCCCCGCCUUCACUUUGCACCCUUACGAUGGCCUCCCGACAAGGCGGUGGCGUCGGAGGGGAACAACCGGCGGACCCCAGGGCUCAUCGUGGCGAAUCGGGCAGAGUUCCUUCAGAGGUGGCUUUCUGUGGUGGUUGCCCUGUUACAACCAUUCCACAGUGGGUGCUGGCACGCACUCCUAGAACCUGCUCCUGGCCUGCGGCUCUCACGCCCAUCCUUCCAUAAAGGUUGAAUGUUCCGGGCCAAAGGGGCUACCUUCCCUGAGUCUGUCCCACCCUCCGCCAUCCAAUGACUGCCAGCCGAUGUGGGGCGGAGAGGCCCAGUCCCUUUCCCUCAGCAGGCUCAGCCCAUUCCCUGGGAUGUGGGUUUUCUGGGCUGCUGCCGUGAGUUGCCACGAGCCAGGUGGCUUAAACCUCUAGCAGUGCACGCCCUCGUGGCUCUGGGGCCAGAAGGCCAAACUUAAGGGUGUUAAUAGGGCUGCGCUCCUUCCAAAAGCUGGGAGCAGGGGAGCGUCUUUCUUGCCUCUCCGGGUCUCGCGGGGCUCUCCGCAUUCCUGGACUGGUGGCCGCACGCCUCCAUCCCCUGUCUACGCCUCCGUGCGGGCUUCUCUCCGUGUGUCUCUUCUGUCUCUCACAAGGACCCGUGUCAUUGGAUUUAGGGCACACCUGGAGAACCCAGGAUGACCUCCAGAUUCUUAACUUCAUCACACCUGCAAAGACCCUUUUUCCAAAAAAGGUCACAGUCACAGGUUCCAGGAGUUAGGAUGUGACACAUCUUUUCAGGGGCCACCGUACACCCAACUAGACCUCAAGAGCCCAGGCCCAGGCCUGCCCAGCCAGUCUCCCCGGGGGAGGGUCAGAGCCCGCAGCGAAGGACCACAGGGGACUCUUCUGCCUCUGUUCCGGGGAAGGGCCCCCAAAGCUGUGUUGCCCUUGGCCUCCUGCGAGGCCUGCUCCCUGCAGCCACAAGUACCCU